UAGCGAAAUUCCUUGUCGGGCAAGUUCCGACCUGCACGAAUGGCAUAAUGAUGGCCACACUGUCUCCUCCUGAGACUCAGUGAAGUUGAAAUGUUUGUGAUGAUGCAAUCUCCCCGCGGCUAGACGGAAAGACCCCAUGAACCUUUACUGCAGCUUUGCAUUGGACUUUGAACCGAUCUGUGUAGGAUAGGUGGGAGGCAGUGAAGCUAGGACGCCAGUCUUAGCGGAGCCAACCUUGAAAUACCACCCUGAUUUGUUUGAGGUUCUAACCUAGGAGCGUAAUCCGCUUCGGGGACCGUGCAUGGUAGGCAGUUUGACUGGGGCGGUCUCCUCCUAAAGGGUAACGGAGGAGUGCGAAGGUACGCUAGGUACGGUCGGAAAUCGUGCUGAUAGUGCAAUGGCAAAAGCGUGCUUGACUGCGAGACCGACAAGUCGAGCAGAUACGAAAGUAGGUCAUAGUGAUCCGGUGGCUCUGCAUGGAAGGGCCAUCGCUCAACGGAUAAAAGGUACUCUGGGGAUAACAGGCUGAUACCGCCCAAGAGUUCAUAUCGACGGCGGUGUUUGGCACCUCGAUGUCGGCUCAUCUCAUCCUGGGGCUGUAGCCGGUCCCAAGGGUAUGGCUGUUCGCCAUUUAAAGAGGUACGUGAGCUGGGUUUAAAACGUCGUGAGACAGUUUUGUCCCUAUCUGCCGUGGGCGUUGGAAGAUUGACGGGGGCUGCUCCUAGUACGAGAGGACCGGAGUGGACUCACCUCUGGUGUACCGGUUGUCACGCCAGUGGCAUCGCCGGGUAGCUAUGUGGGGAAAGGAUAACCGCUGAAAGCAUCUAAGCGGGAAACCUGCCUGAAGAUAAGUCUUCCUGGAGGCUUUGACCUCCCUGAAGAGUCGUUCGAGACCAGGACGUUGAUAGGUUGGAUGUGCAAGCGCUGUGAGGCGUUGAGCUGACCAAUACUAAUUGCUCGUGAAGCUUGAUCCU
rnacentral:rRNA from 1 species